AAUCCACCAUGAAGAAGAAACCAUUCGUAUUCUUCAUAGCUAUAAAGAAUACCCCCAAAUAGAAAGUUCCUGGAUUACCUUCAAGUAUAUAUCAAGUAAAUAUAAUCACUGUAUCCAUGGAAUGACAUAGGAGCGAAUGCCUGGCAAAUAUUUCCCAUUUAUUAUUUCACUUAUUCCACCAACAACUCUAUAAGGAGAAAACAACCAACCCAACCAACCACCAUACCGUGAGAAAACCCAAGCAGCUGUAAAGAGGACUCUAUGGAGAAGAAUCUAGGCCCCCAGCCCAACUUUGCAGUGUGUGAGUGAGCCAUCUUAAAAGUAGAUCCUCUAGCCGCCCCCAAAUUAUCACAGGUGACACUGCAUGAAAUAUGAACAAGUCAUGAGGUCUACCCAAACUGCAAAUUUGUGAGCAAAAUUUAAAUCACUACUGCUAUUUUAAGACACUCCAGUUUAGACUGCUCUGUUAUGCAGUGAUUGAUUACUGAAAUACUAUGUUAUAUAUACACACGUAUGUUAUCUAAAAAGACCACUUUUAAUUCUGGUGUAAUUUAAAAUAAAUUUCAAUAUCUGACAAACU